GAGUUUGAUCAUGGCUCAGGAUGAACGCUAGCGGCAGGCCUAACACAUGCAAGUCGAGGGGUAACAGGAAGUGCUUGCACUUCGCUGACGACCGGCGCACGGGUGAGUACCGCGUAUACAAUCUGCCUCAUACUAGGGGAUAGCCCGAAGAAAUUUGGAUUAAUACCCUAUAGUAUCUUUUUAAGGCAUCUUAUUAAGAUUAAAGGUUACGGUAUGAGAUGAGUAUGCGUUCUAUUAGCUAGUAGGUGUGGUAACGGCACACCUAGGCUACGAUAGAUAGGGGCCCUGAGAGGGGGAUCCCCCACACUGGUACUGAGACACGGACCAGACUCCUACGGGAGGCAGCAGUGAGGAAUAUUGGACAAUGGGCGAAAGCCUGAUCCAGCCAUGCCGCGUGCAGGAUGACUGCCCUAUGGGUUGUAAACUGCUUUUAUAUAGGAAGAAAAACUUUCUCGUGAGAAAGCUUGACGGUACUACAAGAAUAAGGAUCGGCUAACUCCGUGCCAGCAGCCGCGGUAAUACGGAGGAUCCAAGCGUUAUCCGGAAUCAUUGGGUUUAAAGGGUCCGUAGGUGGACGAAUAAGUCAGAGGCGAAAUCCUGCAGCUCAACUGUAGAACUGCCUUUGAUACUGUCUGUCUUGAGUUAUUAUGAAGUGGUUAGAAUGUGUAGUGUAGCGGUGAAAUGCAUAGAUAUUACACAGAAUACCGAUUGCGAAGGCAGAUCACUAAUAAUUAACUGACACUGAGGGACGAAAGCGUGGGUAGCGAACAGGAUUAGAUACCCUGGUAGUCCACGCCGUAAACGAUGGUCACUAGCUGUUUGGACUUCGGUCUGAGUGGCUAAGCGAAAGUGAUAAGUGACCCACCUGGGGAGUACGUUCGCAAGAAUGAAACUCAAAGGAAUUGACGGGGGCCCGCACAAGCGGUGGAGCAUGUGGUUUAAUUCGAUGAUACGCGAGGAACCUUACCAGGGCUUAAAUGUUAGGUGACAGAUCUAGAAAUAGAUUUUUCUUCGGACACUUAACAAGGUGCUGCAUGGUUGUCGUCAGCUCGUGCCGUGAGGUGUCAGGUUAAGUCCUAUAACGAGCGCAACCCCUGUUGUUAGUUGCCAGCGAGUAAUGUCGGGAACUCUAGCAAGACUGCCAGUGCAAACUGUGAGGAAGGUGGGGAUGACGUCAAAUCAUCACGGCCCUUACGUCCUGGGCUACACACGUGCUACAAUGGUAGGUACAGAGAGCAGCCAAUGCGCGAGCAUGAGCAAAUCUAUAAAACCUAUCUCAGUUCGGAUCGGAGUCUGCAACUCGACUCCGUGAAGCUGGAAUCGCUAGUAAUCGGAUAUCAGCCAUGAUCCGGUGAAUACGUUCCCGGGCCUUGUACACACCGCCCGUCAAGCCAUGGAAGUUGGGAGUGCCUGAAGUCCGUUUCCGCAAGGAUCGGCCUAGGGUAAAAUCGAUAACUAGGGCUAAGUCGUAACAAGGUAACC
rnacentral:rRNA from 1 species